rnacentral:rRNA from 1 species
UUGGAUGGGGGAACCCUGACGCAGCAACGCCGCGUGGAGGAUGAAAUCCCUUGGGAUGUAAACUCCUUUCGAUAGGGAAGAUUAUGACGGUACCUAUAGAAGAAGCCCCGGCUAACUUCGUGCCAGCAGCCGCGGUAAUACGAGGGGGGCAAGCGUUGUUCGGAAUUAUUGGGCGUAAAGGGUGCGUAGGCGGUUUGGCAAGUCUUAUGUGAAAUCUAUGGGCUCAACUCAUAGUCUGCAUGAGAAACUGCCGGGCUUGAGUAUGGGAGAGGUGAGUGGAAUUUCCGGUGUAGCGGUGAAAUGCGUAGAUAUCGGAAGGAACACCUGUGGCGAAAGCGGCUCACUGGACCAUAACUGACGCUGAUGCACGAAAGCUAGGGGAGCAAACAGGAUUAGAUACCCUGGUAGUCCUAGCCCUAAACGAUGAUUGCUUGAUGUGGCAGGUACCCAAUCCUGCCGUGUCGAAGCUAACGCGAUAAGCAAUCCGCCUGGGGAGUACGGUCGCAAGGCUGAAACUCAAAAAAAUUGACGGA